GCGUCCAUUUUUUUUCCCCACGACAAAUACCAGUAGCCUACGAUGCAGUGGCUUUAGGACCCUGAUGAAGCGGAAGAAGAACGUCUCUCCUCCUCAUCAUCAUCAUCCUCCUUCUCCUCCAUCCAUGAGCAUCAUGAUGUUGCAACUCAUCCCGCUCACUGUAUUAUUGUGCUUUAGUGCGAUCAUCAGCGCCCAGGACGACUCCAGCCUGACUGAGAGGCCUUAUGUGGUCCUGCAGAAGCAGAACCUAGUCACGUUGGGGAGCGUCCUCGCUGUUCUGCUGCUGCUGAUGAUCAUCAUGGCUGUUUGUGUCUACAAACCUCUGGUUCGUCGCUGAAACCGGACCGAAAAUCUACCGACAGAAACCGCAUUGCGAGUAGAGACCAGCAGGGGGCAGCAGAGCCGGGCAACAAUCAGCAGCGACACCUUGCGGCCAAAACGCGGCCUUGGCAAAACAUGCCGCGACCGAACAGCUAAAAAGAAUCCACCACAUGCACUCAUUUGCAGAUUGUGAUAAAGAGGAAAGUUUAUGUACCCAAGAUCAGUAUCUGCCAGUUUUAAUGAUGGUUACUUCUGAGGAAUGCGGGAAGCCUUGUCGCUCUGCAACAACACGGGCUCACAUGCAAGGAAAUUGCUGCCAAGAAUGUUGCACCUGAAAGAAUAGUUUUCCACGCUAUCAAGACGUUCAAGUGGACAGGCUCUACUGCCGUAGAGAAAGCUUCAGAACAUCCAAGAUUAUCAACCGAGGGUCAGGGCGGUCUUCUCCUUCAGAGUGCCCUACAGGUUGGUGGUGCCACCAGCGCAGAGCUUCCUCAAAAUUGGCAGCAGGUGUGAAUGGACACCUUUGCACGGACUAUGAGCCGCAGACCGUUGGGGAAAGGCCUUGAGGCAUGUUUGGCUGCAAAGGAGGAUAUUUUAUGCAAGGAAACCAUGAAGGACAGACCGGAUUACUGCAGGAAGUGCAGAGUGGACAGCACUGGACUGGUGCUGAGCUGCUUUCUCUGAUGUACUCAUCAGGUGUACAGUAUCUGGAGUAUUAAUUGUCCAGAGAGGAAAAGGGGAGCGUUGCCUUGAGUUACAUAUGUUGCCAGCCAUGACAGAUCCUGAUACUAUCCAUGUGUGGGGUUGCUUCUCAUUCAAAGGAGUGGGCACCACUCCCUGUUCUGCCAAGGGACCUCCAUGAAUGAAGACUGGUAUAAACACGUCCUCUAGGAGCAGCGUCUUCAACAAUGCAGGCACACUUUGGUGAUGAUGAUCAGUGUAUUUUAGCACGACAGAGCACCGUGCCACACGGAAGAAGUAACAACAAAGUGGCUCACAAUUUAUGAUGUUGAAGAUUUGGACUGGUGGUCAAAGAACUCUCCAGAUGUCAGUCCUAUUGAGAAAACUGUGGUCGGCUCUCAAAAACACUAACCAGGCAUGGGCCUCAGUGAGAGCCUCUCCUGCUGCUGAACAAACACACGAUGUAACAUAUUGUCUGUUACAGCUAUAAUAACAUUUUGGGAUUUAUUUAUGUUCAUUUAUUACGUUCAUAUUGAGAGAAUAUACUUUAUUCAGUGGCAUUUUUGAGGCUUGGUGGCACAAAACAUUCACCAUUCAGCUAGUUUACCCGGAAUAGCGCACCAUGACAGUCAGGAAUCAUUUCCAAACAGCCAAAUUUGUCUUUGUUGUAAGCAAGGGGAAACCUUAGAGAGCCUUCUUCUCGCCAGCUGACCGGCAUAGCACAGCAACACGUGGGGGAGGGGCAUGCUUCACACAGCAUGAGAAAAUCUCACUCUAAUACUUUUUUUCUCUGGUGUCUUAUUAAGAGGUGUCAGAACCAUAGGAGUAGGUUUUAAAACCAUCAUUUUGCAACACCUUAGUACCACCCUAACUUUGACCUGAUAAGGGCUUCUGUCAUCCGUUUGCUAAUAAAAGCCUUUGUUACUUUGUGCAUUCAAAGAAAUUGGAUUGGAAUAUGUGUUUAUGGGACUAGUUAGAAUAAAGGUCAUCUCAACCCUGAAUGGACAUUAUGACAACUGGGUUGAUUGGCAACUGUGAAUGGAACGGGUUGCAUUUUCCUUCCACUAAAGUUCUUAAUUUGGUUCAUGAAUAAAAGUCUAGAAAAGUGUGGAUUUAUUUAUUUAUUUUUUAAGCUAUUCCCCGAGUUCUGAAGAGGUAUAGAACAAUAUUUUCCAGACUUUAUCCGUUAUCCAGUUAUUUAAAGCUUAAAAUAUGAUCCUAUAAACUCCCACACAAAAAAACAUAUCUGAAAAUCAGAGAAUUACAUGUUUUCACAUUGAUUUAUAGUUAGAUCGCUUUCUUUUUCUUUAAUUUGCCACGACAGAGCCGAGAAGGUUCUGCAAAUAGUUGAUGCCCUUUGAUUUUUGAGCCGAUUCUCCGUGGCGCACCAUGCGGAAAUGUUUUCAUUACUUAUUAAACUGUAAAAAUCACAUGUAGCGGAUCUUGUGAGACUGUGCACUGAGAAAAUAAAUGUUGGAGGAAAAACCUUCA